rnacentral:rRNA from 1 species
AAUUAACGCUGGCGGCAUGCGUAACACAUGCAAGUCGUACGAGAAAGCCCGGUUCGCCGGGCGAGUAAAGUGGCGCACGGGUGAGUAACGCGUGGGUAAUCUACCUCGGUCUGGGGGAUAACGCACCGAAAGGUGCGCUAAUACCGCAUAAUCCGACGGAUCAUCGGGUCUGUCGGGAAAGGUGGCCUCUACUUGUAAGCUACCGAACUGAGAUGAGCCCCGCGUCCUAUUAGCUAGUUGGUGGGGUAAAGGCCCACCAAGGCGACGAUGGGUAGCUGGUCUGAGAGGACGGCCAGCCACACUGGAACUGGUACACGGUCCAGACUCCUACGGGUGGCAG